AUACGUAGGGAGCGAGCGUUGUCCGGAAUUACUGGGUGUAAAGGGAGCGUAGGCGGGAGUGCAAGUCAGAUGUGAAAUACAUGGGCUCAACCCAUGGGCUGCAUUUGAAACUGCAUUUCUUGAGUGAAGUAGAGGUAAGCGGAAUUCCUGGUGUAGCGGUGAAAUGCGUAGAUAUCAGGAGGAACACCGGUGGCGAAGGCGGCUUACUGGGCUUUUACUGACGCUGAGGCUCGAAAGCGUGGGGAGCAAACAGGAUUAGAUACCCUGGUAGUCCACGCUGUAAACGAUGAUUACUAGAUGUGGGGGGACUGACCCCUUCCGUGCCGCAGUUAACACAAUAAGUAAUCCACCUGGGGAGUACGGCCGCAAGGUUGAAGCUCAAAGGAAUUGACGGGG
rnacentral:rRNA from 1 species